UACGGGGGGGGCAAGCGUUGUUCGGAAUUACUGGGCGUAAAGGGUUCGUAGGUGGCUUGCUAAGUCAGACGUGAAAUCCCUCAGCUUAACUGGGGAACUGCGUCUGAUACUGGCGAGCUUGAGUGCAGGAGAGGAACGCAGAAUUCCAGGUGUAGCGGUGAAAUGCGUAGAUAUCUGGAGGAAUACCGGUGGCGAAGGCGGCGUUCUGGACUGCAACUGACACUGAGGAGCGAAAGCGUGGGGAGCGAACAGG
rnacentral:rRNA from 1 species